rnacentral:rRNA from 1 species
UACGUAGGUGGCAAGCGUUGUCCGGAUUUACUGGGCGUAAAGAGCGCGCAGGCGGUUCAUCAAGUCGAAUGUGAAAGCCCCCGGCUCAACUGGGGAGGGUCACUCGAUACUGAUCGACUCGAAGGCAGGAGAGGGAAGCGGAAUUCCCGGUGUAGUGGUGAAAUGCGUAGAUAUCGGGAGGAACACCAGUGGCGAAGGCGGCUU